CCUCUCUCUCCCCCUCUCUCUCCUUCUCUCUCCCCCACCCUUUCCCUCUCCCCCUCUCUCUUUCCCUCUCCCCCUCUCUUUCCUUCUCCCUCUCUCUCUUUCCCUCCCCACCACCCUCCUUAUCCUAUUGGUUCUGUCCCUCUGGAGAAUCCUGACUUACACAGUGGCUGUGUUUAAUACAGCAGUAUCCUAAGUGGGAAAAAGAACUUGGAUCCCUGAGUCACCCCCUGCUUGGAGGACAGCUACCGAAGAGAGUUGACAUUGAUAUUGGACUGUAAUCUGGGGAGCCAUCAAGUUACUAAUAAUCCAGAAGGAAGAAGGGACCUUCAGAUGAAACAAUACAAGAAAGACUUUCAAAAAGGCACGUGAAGAACAAGACAUCUGUAAUGCAGAAGAUCCUCUUUUCUUGCCCCUGCUGGGAAGCUAUCUCUGGUUCUAGAGCAGAAGGCCAUCACAGAAACUCAGCCAAACAGUAAAUUGGAGGUGAGGUUUUCACCAGGACCAUGAAGACUUCACUUCUUCAAUCGGGUAACUUCCCAAAGAAGUAUUUUCCUACUUUAGAGAUGUGGAAGGAUUGGGAGCUGCUACUCAAGAUGAUCUUACACAUGCACUGAAUGGUUUGAGCAUCAUUCUUAUCAUUGAUUAAGGGGCUGGAUCAACGGCUGGACUUCAGGCAUGGUCAGAAGGAAAAAGGAGCCUAUAAUUGGCCAUUUCUUGGCUGGGUCAUGACCACAGCAAGGGCAUAGAUGUUUAAUAGGCAGUGUAAGGUUACAAUUCCAAAUAUGCAUUAACUGAACCCAUCAAUGAUAUCUAGCGGGGACAACGGGAGGACUUGAGGACAAUUGAUGAUGGUAAGUCAUUUGACAAAAAUAGGGCCUGAAAAAAUACAAAUUUUGGUUCUAUAUCUUUUGAAAAAUAUCACUCCUUAGUUGUCACUUAAGCCUAGGACCAAAGGCUAGCUAGCUUCCCUAAUCACUAGGCUUACUUACUAGAGCAAAGGGUAGAGUGUGGGUACAGGCAUCUGUUGUUAUCUUGCCCAGCAUAUAUUUAUUUAUCCCUCUUCCCUUGGUAACAGCACCCUUCCUUUCCUUUGAAUAACUGUGCCUACUGCAUUUCCAUAUGGCCCUGGGGGGCACCAAUCCUGGUACCCUGUUCCUGGGUAGGUUCAUGACCUUACAGGUUGGCCAGACUCAGUCUCCCAGGAAUCUGAAUUAUAGGUGGAGUGAAAUAUGAAUGGAAGGUGAAUGAAGACAAGUCAAUUUGAUGGCAGUUCUCAGAAAGAAUGAAUCGGAGAUCCCUGGUACUGACCUGAUGUUCCUGACCUUCUUGUGGUCCUUGAUUCUAUGAGUUACUUAGUGUUCUCUCAAAUAAACUAAUCCUUAAAUUAACUAGAGUGGCUUUUCCGUUUCUUAUAGUCAAAGAACACUGAGUGCUCCCUGCCAUGGUGCCCCUAAGGAGAGAAAGGCCAGUCUCUCUUUCUUUUGCUCUGUCUGUAUAUGUGUGCAUUUGUG
rnacentral:lncRNA from 1 species